GCCGGAGUGGCGGAAUUGGCAGACGCGCUGGAUUCAAAAUCCAGUGCCCGCAAGGGCGUGUGGGUUCAAGUCCCACCUCCGGUAC
rnacentral:tRNA from 1 species